rnacentral:tRNA from 1 species
GGGGCUGCAGCUCAGUGGCAGAGCUUCUGCUCUGCAUGCAGAAGGUCCCAGGUUUAAUCCUGGGCAUCUCCA